rfam:Nematostella vectensis strain CH2 x CH6 NEMVEscaffold_3128_Cont44216, whole genome shotgun sequence.
UCAGUACGAGAGGAACCGCAGAUUCAGACAAUUGGCAUUUGCACUUGGCUGAAAAGCCAAUGGUGCGAAGCUACCAGUCUGUUGGAUUAUGACUGAACGCCUCUAAGUCAGAAUCCUUGCUAGAACGCAACGAUAAUUACCUCCGGAGAAUCUUAGGCGAACAAGGAUAGAGAACGGGCUUGCCCGCUCUCCUGCGUCCCAAUGUGCCAAGAGGGAAAACAACCCUCAAGGCACUAAAGUAUAUCAAAGUUUAAAAUUUCUGGAGAUAAAUCCUUUGCAGACGACUUAAAUAAAGAACGGGGUAUUGUACGUUGUAGAGUAGCCUUGUUGCUACGAUCUUCUGAGAUUAAGCCUUUGUUCUACGAUUCGU